rnacentral:tRNA from 1 species
GCCUUGAAAGCUUGUAGCAACUUAUCUUGUAAAUAAGGAGAGAUCAGAGAAGUCUGGUUCAGGGCU